rnacentral:rRNA from 1 species
UACAGAGGUCCCAAGCGUUGUUCGGAUUUACUGGGCGUAAAGGGUGCGUAGGUGGCGAGGUAAGUUCGAUGUGAAAUCUCCGAGCUCAACUCGGAAAUGGCAUUGAAUACUAUCCCGCUUGAGGGUCGGAGGGGAGACUGGAAUUCUCGGUGUAGCAGUGAAAUGCGUAGAUAUCAGGAGGAACACCGAUGGCGAAGGCAGGUCUCUGGGCUGACACUGACGCUCAUGCACGAAAGCGUGGGGAGCAAACAGG